GACGAACGCUGGCGGCGUGCUUAACACAUGCAAGUCGAACGGAAAGGCCCUGCUUUUGUGGGGUGCUCGAGUGGCGAACGGGUGAGUAACACGUGAGUAACCUGCCCUUGACUUUGGGAUAACUUCAGGAAACUGGGGCUAAUACCGGAUAGGAGCUCCUGCUGCAUGGUGGGGGUUGGAAAGUUUCGGCGGUUGGGGAUGGACUCGCGGCUUAUCAGCUUGUUGGUGGGGUAGUGGCUUACCAAGGCUUUGACGAGUAGCCGGCCUGAGAGGGUGACCGGCCACAUUGGGACUGAGAUACGGCCCAGACUCCUACGGGAGGCAGCAGUGGGGAAUAUUGCACAAUGGGCGGAAGCCUGAUGCAGCAACGCCGCGUGCGGGAUGGCGGCCUUCGGGUUGUAAACCGCUUUCGCCUGUGACGAAGCGUGAGUGACGGUAAUGGGUAAAGAAGCACCGGCUAACUACGUG
rnacentral:rRNA from 1 species